rnacentral:rRNA from 1 species
GUCAUGGCUCAGGACGAACGCUGGCGGCACGCCUAACACAUGCAAGUCGAACGGAGAAAAUAGCUUCGGUUGUUUUCUUAGUGGCGGACGGGUGAGUAACACGUGAGGAACCUGCCUUUGAGAGUGGGAUAGCUUCUGGAAACGGAUGGUAAUACCGCAUAACAUAGCGAAACCGCAUGAUUUUGCUAUCAAAGUAUUUCGCUCAGAGAUGGCCUCGCGUCUGAUUAGAUAGUUGGUGAGG